AGUGUCGACCGAGUGACGAAAAGUGCUACAAAAGUGCCGGAAUUUUACCCCGCUUUGCCACCCGCAGGCAGCACUGCCCUAAGCUUCUGCUAUAAUCACAAUAAAACUACACGAAUUGAGCGAUUCGCCAUCACAGCAGCCUAUUUUCUCACACUGGACUGUCACUCAUAUAAAUAAAAGCGAGAGAAGUGAACGGAGUAAACAAUUUUCUUGAGCAACUGACACUGAUGUGAGGGAUGCGAAACAAUGGACAGACUUUAAGGAUAACAGUACCAACGACUGCUGCAAUGUACUAUCCACGCACUAGGAGGGAAGUUCCAGUUAUGUGUGUUGAAAACCGGCGAUUAAACAGUAUGUCGCAGUUGUGGAAGAACGUCUGAUACCAUGCAUUCAAGGGUCCAUCGCAACAGUUACCGAUCCUCAAAUUGGCACCUCCUUCAUCGGCAGCUGGUAUUGGACCCGUAUUUACAUUUAACGAUUGCAUCGAACACAUCAAUCGGUGAUGCUAUCAACAUCCCAGAAUUUAGCUGGAUAGGGUUGUUCAGUUAAAAUGUUAUUCGUCCACAUCAGCGAAAUGCUGCAUAACAUUGCGUCAUCUGAAAUGAAGCUGUACUCUAGCCGUACCUGAUAGUUCUACAGCAUAUACGCCAUUUUGUCAGUGUUAGUAAUCUGCAUUGUAAAUAAAUGAAAUAAUUUCUAGCGACGGUGUUUUUUAAUGUUUAUUUCAACUUUUAUGAGAACAAAUGAUGCUAUAAACAGAGCCGAGCAGUUUUUCAAUCGGUCGACGCGGUGCCAGAUUGGCACAGUGUUGGCUCGUAAAUGGUAAUCGAAUACGAACUGUAGGUCGACAUAAUCAUUGCAAAAUGGCACGACAUCGGCACCGUUGUCGACACCAUUUUUUGGAACCGAUUUGACACAACAAAGUAGACUGGGCUGU